rnacentral:rRNA from 1 species
AAUAGAUACCCCGGUAGUCCACGCCGUAAACGAUGAGUGCUAAGUGUUAGGGGGUUUCCGCCCCUUAGUGCUGCAGCUAACGCAUUAAGCACUCCGCCUGGGGAGUACGGUCGCAAGACUGAAACUCAAAGGAAUUGACGGGGGCCCGCACAAGCGGUGGAGCAUGUGGUUUAAUUCGAAGCAACGCGAAGAACCUUACCAGGUCUUGACAUCCCGCUGACCGCUAUGGAGACAUAGCUUUCCCUUCGGGGACAGCGGUGACAGGUGGUGCAUGGUUGUCGUCAGCUCGUGUCGUGAGAUGUUGGGUUAAGUCCCGCAACGAGCGCAACCCUUGUCCUUAGUUGCCAUCAUUCAGUUGGGCACUCUAAGGAGACUGCCGUACAAAUACGGAGGAAGGUGGGGAUGACGUCAAAUCAUCAUGCCCCUUAUGACCUGGGCUACACACGUGCUACAAUGGACGGUACAAACGGUUGCGAAGUCGCGAGACGGAGCCAAUCCGAGAAAGCCGUUCUCAGUUCGGAUUGCAGGCUGCUAACCG